rnacentral:rRNA from 1 species
CCUACGGGCGGCAGCAGUAGGGAAUUUUCGUCAAUGGGGGCAACCCUGACGCAGCCAUGCCGCGUGAAUGAAGAAGGCCUUCGGGUUGUAAAGUUCUUUCGGUAGCGAGGAAGGCAUUUAGUUUAAUAGACUAGGUGAUUGACGUUAACUACAGAAGAAGCACCGGCUAACUCCGUGCCAGCAGCCGCGGUAAUACGGAGGGUGCGAGCGUUAAUCGGAAUAACUGGGCGUAAAGGGCACGCAGGCGGCUAUUUAAGUGAGGUGUGAAAUCCCCGGGCUUAACCUGGGAAUUGCAUUUCAGACUGGGUAGCUAGAGUACUUUAGGGAGGGGUAGAAUUCCACGUGUAGCGGUGAAAUGCGUAGAGAUGUGGAGGAAUACCGAAGGCGAAGGCAGCCCCUUGGGAAAGUACUGACGCUCAUGUGC